ACGCACAGUCGUAAAGGUGCUUGCACCUUUCAAGCUGAGUGGCGAACGGGCUGAGUAACACGUGGAUAACCUACCUCAAGGCUUGGGGAUAACAUUUGGAAACAGAUGCUAAUACCGAAUAAAACUUAGUAUCGCAUGAUACCAGGUUAAAAGGCGCUACGGCGUCACCUAGAGAUGGAUCCGCGGUGCAUUAAUUAGUUGGUGGGGUAAAGGCUUACCAAGACAAUGAUGCAUAGCCGAGUUGAGAGACUGAUCGGCCACAUUGGGACUGAGACACGGCCCAAACUCCUACGGGAGGCUGCAGUAGGGAAUCUUCCACAAUGGGCGAAAGCCUGAUGGAGCAACGCCGCGUGUGUGAUGAAGGCUUUCGGGUCGUAAAGCACUGUUGUAUGGGAAGAACAGCUAGAGUAGGGAAUGACUUUAGUUUGACGGUACCAUACCAGAAAGGGACGGCUAAAUACGUGCCAGCAGCCGCGGUAAUACGUAUGUCCCGAGCGUUAUCCGGAUUUAUUGGGCGUAAAGCGAGCGCAGACGGUUAAUUAAGUCUGAUGUGAAAGCCCGGAGCUCAACUCCGGAAAGGCAUUGGAAACUGGUUAACUUGAGUGCAGUAGAGGUAAGUGGAACUCCAUGUGUAGCGGUGGAAUGCGUAGAUAUAUGGAAGAACACCCAGCGGCGAAGGCGGCUUACUGGACUGUAANCUGANCGUGANGCUCNAAGUG
rnacentral:rRNA from 1 species